UCCAUCUCCCCUCCCCUCCCCACCCCUCUCCCUCCUCUCCUCCUCUCCUUCCCUUCCCUCGCCCCCUUCCGGCCAGCCGGCCAUGGAGCCCACCCUCGACGAGCAGCAGUCGAGCACCCACCUUGCCGGUAUGGGAUCACAAGGAAGCCGAGGGCGGUGAAGACGGUGAGGAGCAUGCUGCAUGACCUCGUCGACCAUGGCCAUCGAGUCGUAGAAGGAGGUAUCGGCACCGGCGCCGGCCGCGCGGGCCCGCUGGAUCGGGAGCACGCGGAGGCUAAGCUGCCCGCGCGUCCUGCGGUGGUGCACGAACGCGCGCAGCCUGGUGCAGCAUGCUGGAUGUACUCGACGACGGCAGGCCAAUAGAGUGCGCGGACUCACGCUUGUCAAUCUAGAUCCAAGCCUUGAAGUGAGCGAGAUAGCAAGGGACGGCGAUGAAUCCAUGUAGUAAGACGACGGUGGCGCGCCGAGGCGAAGGAAGGCAGCUGCGGCGUGCUAGAUAGUGGGGGCGCUGCGAUGGUCAGCGAGCUCCACCCGAUCUGCACCUCCGCUUCAAAUUGCAGCUCCAUCCGGCCGGCUGCCCCCAUAGUUUAGGCCUGAGUCAGGUACACCUUCUUUGUUGAGUCGUGCUGCUACUGAGUUAUUGCUGGUCUGCUUGAGAAGUUGUGGUUGUCUUGGAAUGUGAUAACUUAGCGCUAAUGUUGGCAGAUCUGAGAUACAAUGGGUCUCCAUCAUUUCAUUUCUAUUUGUUCAAAUCCAUGGACUGCAUUUCUUGAUCUGAUUUACUUGUUAAUUUGAUUUACCCAUGGGUAUUUGAUAGAGUUGUCUGUACCUGGCAAAGUUAUCCACGCUUGUGCCUUGCUAGGUCAGCGUGAAUACCAUGAACCCGAAUACAUACAUAUCUGUCAAUAAUAUGGAUAAAAUUAGAAUUUGACUUGAUAGGAAAUAUUGAGAAAGAAAUGUUCCACAAUUUCGUACAAUUUACCCCUCUGUGCAGUCUCUCCCAUGUCGUGGUCCAAGCAGCAGCCACUUGAAGGAAACUUGGUCUAGCUCCUAGGAGGCAUGCCUGUUGGUUGUUCACGACUGAAUGUACUCUAAAAAUCCUAUGGUAAAAAAUGAAAACAAGGGGUGGAUGGCUAUAUUGAAUGAACAAUGCUAGAUUAUGAUAUUUACCUUACUGCUGCACAAUCAAGAAAGUUCAUAACACAUAGCAAGUUAUUAGUGACUGCAUUAGAAGAAACGAAAGAGCAUUUGAUAAUUCUGAUGCAUAUGUUGCGGAUUCAUAGUUUGGUCAGGAGUUACAGCAUAUUCAGUUUGUGAUAGGUAGAAGAUACACAUACCGCAAAAUAGUUAUUAUGCAAUAAGUUGAUCCUAUGCACUUGCUCAAUCUACUAUAUGCUAAGUCCAUAUUUAGUGAGCAUGAUCCACUGCUGUUCUAACUGCUUGUUAGUAUAGUUUGGCCAACUGCAAAGUCCUAAUGUAGGCAAAAGUUUGGUAGCAAAAGUAUAUCUUGAUAGUCCUAUAAGAAAUAUUUUUGUGUCAGUUAUAAUAAAUUUCUAGGAUCUUAGAUUAUAUUUGAACAAUGUGAAUACAUAUGUAAGGUAGAGUUUACAACCUUUUACUUGUGUGAGGCUUGACUACAUAAUUUCCUUGGUUCUUGUGCUGGUAUUUAUCACUGUCAUCAUUGCUGGUAUCCUGUGACAUGUAGCAUGCUAUAAAUUUGGGAUUGACUGUAGAUAUCUUCAAACCUUCUUUUACUAACACCCUGAUUGUGUCUAUCAUAAAAUGGAUAUAACCGGUCAAGAGAAAGUUCCAGUGGUGGCCGCAUCCUCAUGAGUGUUCAUCAUUAGGAAGAAUGGGCUACACAACGCUACCACCACCAGGACACGAGCAGGUAUGUGCCCACUCUCCCCCUCCUCACUGAAGGCACUGUCUUGCUCGUACAACUCAUUGGCCCUCUAGGUCUUUUUGAUUCUUGCUAUUUCGAACUCUAGGUCCUGCGAACAGACGACAUGCCCUUCGUUGGGUUGAUGAAAAUUUCAGGUGUUGCACCUUGCAGGAUAUUAUUGUCUCCUGGAGCCACUCUAGUGGGUCGUGAUGGACCAAGCAUCAGAGAUUCUAUUGGCCUCCUUUGUUCUUAAGCAUGCUAAUUUUUUUGUUAAAAUAGAUGUAAAAACUGGAGCGACAUUGCAAUUUUAUUCUAACCAAAUGAAUUAACUGUUUUGGUAUCA